rnacentral:tRNA from 1 species
AGCAGUGUGGUCUAGUGGUAAGAACACAGGCCAGGGAGUCAGAAGGACCUGGGUUCUAGUCCUGGCUCUGCUA